CUCGAAGUGAGAAGAGCUACUUAUAAUGGCCUAUAUUAGUAGAUAAACAGUUAUGUUGAAAUAUGACCAGAAAGACCUAUAAGUAGGAGCGAAAAACUUUCAAUUCUCAGGAUAUCUAGAAGUUCUAGAAAAGCAUUUAGUGCUGAAAAGUUAAGUAUAAAGUGAUGAAAUUUUAUACUUGUAGAAUUAUAGAUUAGUCUCUUUAUUAUUCAAUAGUUAACCCUAAAGAAAUUUUAAGAAAAAAAAUCAUUAAUCCCUUAAUAAAUCUAAUAUAAUAUAGAACUUCUCCAAGAAUUUAGAUCUUGGAAUUGAUUAUGUAUAAAUAAGUAGUAUAAAAUUAUAAUUUUAUAAAAUCAUAAAAGAUUUUCCAAAAAUUAUUAUAAACAAUUAGUUGAAAGGAACUCGGCAAAUAUAAACUUCGACUGUUUAACAAAAACAUAGCCUUAGGGACUUUAUCUAAGGUUAAACCUGCCCAAUGUAAGUUAUAUGAAUGGCCGCGGUACUUUGACCGUGCUAAGGUAGCGCAAUCAAUUGGCUUUUAAUUGAAGCCAUGUAUGAAUGGAAUCACGGGGUUUAGCUGUCUCUUAACUAAUUUAUCGAAAUUACUAUUUAGGUGAAAAAGCCUAAGAAAAGAAGAAGGACGAGAAGACCCUUAGAGUUUUACUAAAACUAAAAAUAUUUUUAAGACAGUUUAGUUGGGGCAACAUAGGAGCAAUAAGUUAACCUCCUGUAAUAGACUAACCGAUACUAAUAAAAACGAAUAAACUACCUUAGGGAUAACAGCAUAAUUUUAUAAAUAAGUUUGUGACCUCGAUGUUGGACUAGGAAACUUAGAGGCUAGCCGCCUCUUAGGAAAGUUCUGUUCGAACUAUUAUUCCUACAUGAUCUGAGUUCAGACCGGCGCAAGCCAGGUCAGAUUCUAUCCUCUUAUUAUAAGGUCUUAGUACGAAAGGACCAGAUCUU
rnacentral:rRNA from 1 species